CCAAGAACUUCGAUAUCUAGACUCUCUGUACGAUGUCGUGAAGAGUUCAUGAACCGGGUCGGAGAAAUAAAGAUAAGAAGCAAGAGUUUUAGGGAUGGGAAAAGCCUCUGAGAUUUACAGAGUUUGGAGAGAGCUUGGCUUCUCAGUUUUAGAGAAACAGAGUGAGAUUACUUAUGCUAGUUCCAUAGUUUGGUCUUUUCAAGAGAAGAGCAGAGAAGGUGGGAGUUAUGGAGGAAUCGCGAGAUAUACUGAUGUCAACGCUGAUUGAAUCUGGGGUUUUCAUUCCCGGAGAUUUCUCUUCCAUCGGUGAAUUUUCCUCGGAGGCGUUGGUAUCGAUCUGUGCUCAGUUGCUUAAUCUCAUUGACCCAUCCUCGGCGUCGUUUUGCGAUGAGCUCCUGAUUCUCUCCCCGAUAGGUUUAGGAUCUGCACCGAUAUCGCUCAUCCUGUGAAGAAUCUAGGCUACAUCAACGACAUGAGUUAUUACAAGAUUGUAUGUGUUGCUUGCGGCAGUUUCUGCAUCCAUUUGAAGAUGACUCGUAUAGGUUGGUUAGGUUUCUAGUUGAGAGGCUUUCAUAGAAAAAUGAAGGACUGAAAACUUCCCUAGCUAAUGAUGUAGCUAGCAGACCCACGAUGGAGAAUUUCAGAGAUACUUCAGAAGAUUUUGGAGCGUAGAGGCUAGGGUUGAAAAAAUAGUUGAGAGAGAGGGGGAGAAGGAACUUGACACCAUUAAAGAGCAGUAUCUCGGAUGUAAGAGCUUGACUUACGGACUCAGGAGAGUUGGGACAAAACUCUCAGCCUAACCAAGUGCCUAGAAGUCUACAACUAGUGAAGGGCGUCGAUCACAUGUAGAACGUCCCGAGUCCGAAGAAUCGUAUAUCGAGAUUGUCAACUUAAUUUAUGUUUAGCUUUGUAACAAAUAAUUUGAUCUUAUAAAUAAUAUAUUUAUUUAUUUGGAUUAAUAAAUUUUGUGUUUUCAUAA